rnacentral:rRNA from 1 species
ACGUGAUCUGAGUUCAGACCGGAGUAAUCCAGGUCAGUUUCUAUCUAUAAAGAGCCUUUUCUAGUACGAAAGGACCGAAAAAGCAUGGCCAAUACUUCAUGCAAGCCAUCAUUAAUAACCUAUGACCAACACUUAAUUGGUAAUUUAUCUUCAACCCACCUCAAAAAAAGAGA